rnacentral:rRNA from 1 species
UGGGGAAUAUUGCACAAUGGGCGCAAGCCUGAUGCAGCAACGCCGCGUGAGGGACGACGGCCUUCGGGUUGUAAACCUCUUUUGGCAGGGAAGAAGCGAAAGUGACGGUACCUGCAGAAAAAGCACCGGCUAACUACGUGCCAGCAGCCGCGGUGAUACGUAGGGUGCAAGCGUUGUCCGGCAUUAUUGGGCGUAAAGAGCUCGUAGGCGGUUUGUCGCGUCUGCUGUGAAAACCCGAGGCUCAACCUCGGGCCUGCAGUGGGUACGGGCAAACUAGAGUGCGGUAGGGGAGAUUGGAAUUCCUGGUGUAGCGGUGGAAUGCGCAGAUAUCAGGAGGAACACCGAUGGCGAAGGCAGAUCUCUGGGCCGUAACUGACGCUGA